rnacentral:rRNA from 1 species
GGUUAAGCGACUAAGCGUACACGGUGGAUGCCCUGGCAGUCAGAGGCGAUGAAGGACGUGCUAAUCUGCGAUAAGCGUCGGUGAGGUGAUAUGAACCGUUAUAACCGGCGAUUUCCGAAUGGGGAAACCCAGUGUGUUUCGACACACUAUCAUUAACUGAAUCCAUAGGUUAAUGAGGCGAACCGGGGGAACUGAAACAUCUAAGUACCCCGAGGAAAAGAAAUCAACCGAGAUUCCCCCAGUAGCGGCGAGCGAACGGGGAGGAGCCCAGAGCCUGAAUCAGUGUGUGUGUUAGUGGAAGCGUCUGGAAAGGCGCGCGAUACAGGGUGACAGCCCCGUACACAAAAAUGCACAUAUUGUGAGCUCGAUGAGUAGGGCGGGACACGUGGUAUCCUGUCUGAAUAUGGGGGGACCAUCCUCCAAGGCUAAAUACUCCUGACUGACCGAUAGUGAACCAGUACCGUGAGGGAAAGGCGAAAAGAACCCCGGCGAGGGGAGUGAAAAAGAACCUGAAACCGUGUACGUACAAGCAGUGGGAGCCUCUUAAUGGGGUGACUGCGUACCUUUUGUAUAAUGGGUCAGCGACUUAUAUUCUGUAGCAAGGUUAACCGAAUAGGGGAGCCGAAGGGAAACCGAGUCUUAACUGGGCGUUAAGUUGCAGGGUAUAGACCCGAAACCCGGUGAUCUAGCCAUGGGCAGGUUGAAGGUUGGGUAACACUAACUGGAGGACCGAACCGACUAAUGUUGAAAAAUUAGCGGAUGACUUGUGGCUGGGGGUGAAAGGCCAAUCAAACCGGGAGAUAGCUGGUUCUCCCCGAAAGCUAUUUAGGUAGCGCCUCGUGAAUUCAUCUCCGGGGGUAGAGCACUGUUUCGGCAAGGGGGUCAUCCCGACUUACCAACCCGAUGCAAACUGCGAAUACCGGAGAAUGUUAUCACGGGAGACACACGGCGGGUGCUAACGUCCGUCGUGAAGAGGGAAACAACCCAGACCGCCAGCUAAGGUCCCAAAGUCAUGGUUAAGUGGGAAACGAUGUGGGAAGGCCCAGACAGCCAGGAUGUUGGCUUAGAAGCAGCCAUCAUUUAAAGAAAGCGUAAUAGCUCACUGGUCGAGUCGGCCUGCGCGGAAGAUGUAACGGGGCUAAACCAUGCACCGAAGCUGCGGCAGCGACACUAUGUGUUGUUGGGUAGGGGAGCGUUCUGUAAGCCUGUGAAGGUGGCCUGUGAGGGUUGCUGGAGGUAUCAGAAGUGCGAAUGCUGACAUAAGUAACGAUAAAGCGGGUGAAAAGCCCGCUCGCCGGAAGACCAAGGGUUCCUGUCCAACGUUAAUCGGGGCAGGGUGAGUCGACCCCUAAGGCGAGGCCGAAAGGCGUAGUCGAUGGGAAACAGGUUAAUAUUCCUGUACUUGGUGUUACUGCGAAGGGGGGACGGAGAAGGCUAUGUUGGCCGGGCGACGGUUGUCCCGGUUUAAGCGUGUAGGCUGGUUUUCCAGGCAAAUCCGGAAAACCAAGGCUGAGGCGUGAUGACGAGGCACUACGGUGCUGAAGCGACAAAUGCCCUGCUUCCAGGAAAAGCCUCUAAGCAUCAGGUAACAUCAAAUCGUACCCCAAACCGACACAGGUGGUCAGGUAGAGAAUACCAAGGCGCUUGAGAGAACUCGGGUGAAGGAACUAGGCAAAAUGGUGCCGUAACUUCGGGAGAAGGCACGCUGAUAUGUAGGUGAAGCGACUUGCUCGUGGAGCUGAAAUCAGUCGAAGAUACCAGCUGGCUGCAACUGUUUAUUAAAAACACAGCACUGUGCAAACACGAAAGUGGACGUAUACGGUGUGACGCCUGCCCGGUGCCGGAAGGUUAAUUGAUGGGGUUAGCGGCAACGCGAAGCUCUUGAUCGAAGCCCCGGUAAACGGCGGCCGUAACUAUAACGGUCCUAAGGUAGCGAAAUUCCUUGUCGGGUAAGUUCCGACCUGCACGAAUGGCGUAAUGAUGGCCAGGCUGUCUCCACCCGAGACUCAGUGAAAUUGAACUCGCUGUGAAGAUGCAGUGUACCCGCGGCAAGACGGAAAGACCCCGUGAACCUUUACUAUAGCUUGACACUGAACAUUGAGCCUUGAUGUGUAGGAUAGGUGGGAGGCUUUGAAGUGUGGACGCCAGUCUGCAUGGAGCCGACCUUGAAAUACCACCCUUUAAUGUUUGAUGUUCUAACGUUGGCCCCUAAUCGGGGUUGCGGACAGUGUCUGGUGGGUAGUUUGACUGGGGCGGUCUCCUCCUAAAGAGUAACGGAGGAGCACGAAGGUUGGCUAAUCCUGGUCGGACAUCAGGAGGUUAGUGCAAUGGCAUAAGCCAGCUUGACUGCGAGCGUGACGGCGCGAGCAGGUGCGAAAGCAGGUCAUAGUGAUCCGGUGGUUCUGAAUGGAAGGGCCAUCGCUCAACGGAUAAAAGGUACUCCGGGGAUAACAGGCUGAUACCGCCCAAGAGUUCAUAUCGACGGCGGUGUUUGGCACCUCGAUGUCGGCUCAUCACAUCCUGGGGCUGAAGUAGGUCCCAAGGGUAUGGCUGUUCGCCAUUUAAAGUGGUACGCGAGCUGGGUUUAGAACGUCGUGAGACAGUUCGGUCCCUAUCUGCCGUGGGCGCUGGAGAACUGAGGGGGGCUGCUCCUAGUACGAGAGGACCGGAGUGGACGCAUCACUGGUGUUCGGGUUGUCAUGCCAAUGGCACUGCCCGGUAGCUAAAUGCGGAAGAGAUAAGUGCUGAAAGCAUCUAAGCACGAAACUUGCCCCGA